rnacentral:rRNA from 1 species
AUUGAACGCUGGCGGCAUGCUUUACACAUGCAAGUCGAACGGCAGCGCGGGCUUCGGCCUGGCGGCGAGUGGCGAACGGGUGAGUAAUGCAUCGGAACGUGCCCAGUAGUUGGGGAUAGCCCGGCGAAAGCCGGAUUAAUACCGCAUACGACCUGAGGGUGAAAGCGGGGGACCGAAAGGCCUCGCGCGAUUUGAUCGGCCGAUGUCGGAUUAGCUAGUUGGUGGGGUAAAGGCUUACCAAGGCGACGAUCCGUAGCUGGUCUGAGAGGACGACCAGCCACACUGGGACUGAGACACGGCCCAGACUCCUACGGGAGGCAGCAGUGGGGAAUUUUGGACAAUGGGGGCAACCCUGAUCCAGCCAUGCCGCGUGCGGGAAGAAGGCCUUCGGGUUGUAAACCGCUUUUGUUCGGGAAGAAAUACUCUGGGCUAAUACCCCGGGGGGAUGACGGUACCGGAAGAAUAAGCACCGGCUAACUACGUG